AUUUAAAUCACCUGGAUAUCUUGUUAAAAUGCAGAUUCUGAUGCAGUAGGUCUAGGGUGGGGCCUGAGAGUCUGUGAUCCUAACAAGCUCCCGGGUGAUAAUGAU
rnacentral:pre_miRNA from 1 species